rnacentral:rRNA from 1 species
AGUAGGGCCUGCCCACUGAGUAUUUGAAGGGCCGCAGUAUCUUAACUGUGCAAAGGUAGCAUAAUCAUUAGUUUUUUAAUUGAAAGCUGGUAUGAAUGGUUUGAUGAAAAAAUUUCUGUUUCAAUAUUAAUUAUUUAAAAUUUUAUUUUUAAGUGAAAAAGCUUAAAUAUUUAUAAUAGACGAGAAGACCCUAUAGAGUUUUCUUAAUAAAUAAUUUAUUAAAUUUAGUAUUUAUUUUUAUGAAAUUAUUUAUUAAUUUAAUUGGGGUGAUUAAAAAAUUAGUUAAACUUUUUUUAUAUUUAUACAUUUAUUUAUGAAUACUUGAUCCAUAAUAAUGAUUACAAGAAU